rnacentral:rRNA from 1 species
UACGUAGGCAGCAAGCGUUGUUCGGAAUUACUGGGCGUAAAGAGUGUGUAGGCGGUGCUCUAAGUCUGUUGUGAAAUCUCCCGGCUUAACCGGGAGGGUGCGGCGGAAACUGGAGUGCUUGAGGGUGGGAGAGGUAAGCGGAAUUCCUGGUGUAGCGGUGAAAUGCGUAGAUAUCAGGAGGAACACCAAUUGCGAAGGCAGCUCGCUGGGACGUUACUGACGCUGAGACGCGAAAGCGUGGGGAGCAAACAGG